UGCCCAGCAACUCAUAUCCCUACCUCUACGCGGUACCGGACGGAAACUAUGAGCAACCUUAGGGAAGAUCGGGUAACCAACCCCGGUGGGAACUUUUGUCGUAGGCUGACAGGGAAGG
rfam:Aedes albopictus isolate Foshan contig125295, whole genome shotgun sequence.